GCCCCUGUGAGAAUGCCCUGUAACCUCUGGAUGAGAUCAAGGAGCUGGUAUCAGGCACACUUAAAUGUAGCCCACGACGCCUUGCUUAGCCACACCCCCAAGGGAGUCCAGCAGUGAUAGAUUUUAAGCCAUAAGUGAAAACUUGACUUAGUUAAUGCUAGUGAGAGUCGGUAAAACUCGUGCCAGCCACCGCGGUUAUACGAGAGACUCAAGUUGACAAUCAUCGGCGUAAAGAGUGGUUAAGAUGUAUAAAAACUAGAGCUAAAUACCCUCAAAGCUGUUAUACGCUCUCGAAGGUAAGAAGCCCAACUACGAAAGUGGCUCUAUCAUAUCUGAUUCCACGAAAGCUAGGGCACAAACUGGGAUUAGAUACCCCACUAUGCCUAGCCCUAAACAUUGACAGUUAAUUACACCCACUGUCCGCCUGGGAACUACGAGCACCAGCUUAAAACCCAAAGGACUUGGCGGUGCUUUAGACCCACCUAGAGGAGCCUGUUCUAGAACCGAUAAUCCCCGUUAAACCUCACCCUUCCUUGUCAUUUCC
rnacentral:rRNA from 1 species